GAUGAACGCUGGCGGCGUGCCUAAUACAUGCAAGUCGAGCGAACGGACGAGAAGCUUGCUUCUCUGAUGUUAGCGGCGGACGGGUGAGUAACACGUGGAUAACCUACCUAUAAGACUGGGAUAACUUCGGGAAACCGGAGCUAAUACCGGAUAAUAUUUUGAACCGCAUGGUUCAAAAGUGAAAGACGGUCUUGCUGUCACUUAUAGAUGGAUCCGCGCUGCAUUAGCUAGUUGGUAAGAUAACGGCUUACCAAGGCAACGAUGCAUAGCCGACCUGAGAGGGUGAUCGGCCACACUGGAACUGAGACACGGUUCAGACUCCUACGGGAGGCAGCAGUAGGGAAUCUUCCGCAAUGGGCGAAAGCCUGACGGAGCAACGCCGCGUGAGUGAUGAAGGUCUUCGGAUCGUAAAACUCUGUUAUUAGGGAAGAACAUAUGUGUAAGUAACUGUGCACAUCUUGACGGUACCUAAUCAGAAAGCCACGGCUAACUACGUG
rnacentral:rRNA from 1 species